CCAGGGCUCAUAGUCCGCUCUACCUGCAGCCACAAAUGGAAGCACAAAACCCAUCUUGGCACUAACACGCGCUCUCUCCUCUCCAGGAUCUUGGAAUUACUCUGGAUCCAGCAGAUAAUCUAGGAUAACAUAGCUGCUUAAAGCCACAGCAAUGCCGACCUCAUAGAUGUGUGGAGCAUGAAGAAGUUCUCACGUGAGUGCCUUCACAGGAGUGAUUUUACAUUUUAAGGGCUCUUGAAAAAGUUCUAC